rnacentral:lncRNA from 1 species
AUGCCCAGUGUCCUUGGUAAACUUACAUAUCCAGUAACGAAUCACACCCGUCUUCAGGAAGUUCCUCAACAAAAGCCCAAGCGUCCGUCCAGAUUACCUUGCCCAACGCAAUUAGACAUUGGUCCCAAACCCCAUUUUAUCCCAGUUCAAGCUCAUCAUCGCUGUCAGCUGCCAUCCCAAUUCCAGGCGCCCCAACAUCCUCAUCCUCAUCAGAGCUUAAGCACCUUUGACUACGCCCCACAGCAUCCCCAGCUGUGGAUCCCGCUCCAUCCCUCCAGCCAGUCCAUGGGUCUGAUCCUGCAACCCGCCAAUCACCUCCCAUGCUUUCAUUGCCUGUUGCCCCAACAUCAUCAUCCUCAUCAGAGCUUAAGCACCUUUGACUACGCCCCACAGCAUCCCCAGCUGUGGAUCCCGCUCCAUCCCUCCAGCCAGUCCAUGGGUCUGAUCCUGCAACCCGCCAAUCACCUCCCAUGCUUUCAUUGCCUGUUUCCCCAACACCCAAAUCCUCCCUCACACGAGUCCAUUCCAUGUCGUCCUCCUCCGAGCUGGCCAUCUCUUCCUCCAAACCCUCAGAAAAACCCUCAAAUGAGUCCUCAUCUGUCGGGUCUGUAAACAAAUCCCGGAGCCGUUUUCUUUCACGCUCCUCGAAAGAGUCUGACUCUCGAGGAGUCUUAUGACCCCUUCUUCUAUUACCGGAGCCCGAAGGCUCAACCAUAACACUAGGAGAACACUUAAGAUCUUUUAUAGUAAAAUAAGAAAAGAAAUGGAAGAAAUAAUAGGGAAAGCAUUAAUAAGGGACAAAGAGAGAUUUAUGUCCCUCACAAUAAUGGUAAGGCCCGAGACUCUAAAAUAUAUGACAGCCACAAUACAAGCCACAAUAGCCCAAGGAUGGAGGGAUGAGACAAAAUGAGAUGUAGAAACUUGGCGGUCUUAUAUAUCAGAAUAUAUAAUUAAUGAUUUCAUUAAUCAAAGGAAAAGAAAAUAUACAAAUAGUCUAAAAGAACAAGAUUGGUUUAGGAAAUGGUCAGUCCUAAUCGACAAAAUAGAUGGAGAUGAAAGAUACACCACCUUGAACCAGGCUUUCCACACGGUUAAAAUGAUACAAUGAUAAUAUAUUGAAUUACUGUUCCAGGAGGGGGAACAGGGGGAGGGUAGGGGAUGGGUGAUACAUUCCAAAAAAGAAAGAAAAAAAAAAUAGUGGAUGAAAUUUGAUGGCAGGGUGACUCCCUGUUGUGGGAUUUCAAUUUAGACAAAUAAAUCCAAGGAAUAAUAAUAAUAAUAAUAAUAAUAAUAAUAAUAAUAAUAAUAAUGCUGUAAUAAUAAAAACUUUAUUUAUAACCCGCUUCCAUCUCCCUGAGGGGGACUCGGAACAGUUCACAUGGGGACCAAGCCCAAUCAACAGAUAAAACAAUAGCGUAUAUAAUUAAAACAAUAACAGUAAAAUAAUAUUCAUAAAAUACAUAGCGAGCAUCAGGACUAAGUAAAGGUAAAGGUUUCCCCUGACAUUAAGUCCAGUCGUGAUUGACUCUGGGGGUUGGUGCUUAUCUCAAUUUCUAAGCCAAAGAGCCGGCGUUGUCCAUAAACACCUCCAGGUCAUGUGGCUGGCAUGACUGCAUGGAGCACCGUUACCUUCCCGCGGAGCAGUACCUAUUGAUCUACUUACAUUUGCAUGUUUUCGAACUGCUAGGUUGGCAGGAACUGGGGUUAACAGCGGGCGCUCAUUCCGCUCCCAGGAUUUGAACCUGGCACCUUUCAGUCCGCAAGUUCAGCAGCUCAGCGCUUUAACACACUGUGCCACCAGGGGCCCCAUCAGGACUAAACGGUGGGGCUAUUAAGAAAUUAUAGGGAAGGCAGGCAAAAAUGCAAGGCAAUGAGAUUCAGGAAUAGGGUAAAAUGCUGAGAGGCUGGAUGGUGGUGAAAACAGACCUACUGAUCGAAUGCACAUUGAAACAUCCAAGUCUUCAAAUUUUUGCAGAAUGUGGCCAGGGUAGGUGCUAAUCUAAUCUUAUUUAUGUGUAUGUGUGUGUUUCAGGUCCAAUUUGGAUGAAUCUGCUGUCUACACUGGACACCAGCACCAUGUUCCUCUCCUUAUAAUCAUUAGCACAGAGACAGGGGAUGGAUUAUGGCUGUGUCACCAUCACUCCCAAUGUCAUAAUGAGGCACCCAUUCAACCAGGAAAAAGAAGGGAACAUCGCCCUACUCCUUUUUGCUGUUCAUGCAAGCCUUCUGUUUUGGUGUCAACAAAGAUCCCCAUGAUGACUAUGGCCCCUUCUACAAUGCCAAAUAAUCCAGAUUAUCAAAUCAGAUAAUCCACAUUAUCUGCUUUGAACUAGAUUAUAUGAAUCUACACUGCCAUAUAAUCCAGUUCAAAGCAGAUAAUCUGGAUCUUAUAUGGCAGUGUAGAAGGGGCCUAAGAGCUUGGAUAGAAUUUAAAGGUCAGUUAGUAUAGCUGGGACAGUGACAUGAAUGAGGUGAGAUGUGGACUGCCCGAGUGGAGCAGAUGUAUUCUUGAACGAUGAUCUCAGAUUGAUCAUGAACAUGCCAGGUCCUGGCCUUCUCCAGAACAUAUUUACACAGGGUUAAACUGCUGGUGUCGAAGAGCCCUGUGAAAGUUAUUCCUGUCAUGGGACAGAUUUCUGCGGAAAACAAACAGAGUACCAUUUGUUGUCU